rnacentral:sRNA from 1 species
GCUGCUAUGGGUCGGUCCUCUGAAGAGGCUGGGGCGUCAUCGGGGCCGGUUAGAAGCUCUGCUCCCCGGCGGGGACACUCAGUCGCGUCGGCACCGCGGAGCGGGCUGCGUCAGGUGGCUGGCCGGCGCGGCGCUCCCCUGCUCUCUGGCUCCGGACUGCGGCGCGGCGGCUGGAGCGAGCCCCUGUCCCGGCGCGGGGCGGCGGCGGGCGGCCGGCAGGCGCUGCCUUGCGUGUGAGUGCACCUCACUCACAUGUGCUGGAGAAUCUGGUAAAAGCACCAUUGUGAAGCAGAUGAGGAUCCUGCAUGUUAAUGGGUUUAAUGGAGAGGGCGGCGAAGAGGACCCGCAGGCUGCAAGGAGCAACAGCGAUGGUGAGAAGGCAACCAAAGUGCAGGACAUCAAAAACAACCUGAAAGAGGCGAUUGAAACCAUUGUGGCCGCCAUGAGCAACCUGGUGCCCCCCGUGGAGCUGGCCAACCCCGAGAACCAGUUCAGAGUGGACUACAUUCUGAGUGUGAUGAACGUGCCUGACUUUGACUUCCCUCCCGAAUUCUAUGAGCACGCCAAGGCUCUGUGGGAGGAUGAAGGAGUGCGUGCCUGCUACGAACGCUCCAACGAGUACCAGCUGAUUGACUGUGCCCAGUACUUCCUGGACAAGAUCGAUGUGAUCAAGCAGGCUGACUAUGUGCCGAGCGAUCAGGACCUGCUUCGCUGCCGCGUCCUGACUUCUGGAAUCUUUGAGACCAAGUUCCAGGUGGACAAAGUCAACUUCCACAUGUUUGACGUGGGUGGCCAGCGCGACGAACGCCGCAAGUGGAUCCAGUGCUUCAACGAUGUGACUGCCAUCAUCUUCGUGGUGGCCAGCAGCAGCUACAACAUGGUCAUCCGGGAGGACAACCAGACCAACCGCCUGCAGGAGGCUCUGAACCUCUUCAAGAGCAUCUGGAACAACAGAUGGCUGCGCACCAUCUCUGUGAUUCUGUUCCUCAACAAGCAAGAUCUGCUCGCUGAGAAAGUCCUUGCUGGGAAAUCGAAGAUUGAGGACUACUUUCCAGAAUUUGCUCGCUACACUACUCCUGAGGAUGCUACUCCCGAGCCCGGAGAGGACCCACGCGUGACCCGGGCCAAGUACUUCAUUCGAGAUGAGUUUCUGAGGAUCAGCACUGCCAGUGGAGAUGGGCGUCACUACUGCUACCCUCAUUUCACCUGCGCUGUGGACACUGAGAACAUCCGCCGUGUGUUCAACGACUGCCGUGACAUCAUUCAGCGCAUGCACCUUCGUCAGUAUGAGCUGCUCUAAGAAGGGAACCCCCAAAUUUAAUUAAAGCCUUAAGCACAAUUAAUUAAAAGUGAAACGUAAUUGUACAAGCAGUUAAUCACCCACCAUAGGGCAUGAUUAACAAAGCAACCUUUCCCUUCCCCCGAGUGAUUUUGCGAAACCCCCUUUUCCCUUCAGCUUGCUUAGAUGUUCCAAAUUUAGAAAGCUUAAGGCGGCCUACAGAAAAAGGAAAAAAGGCCACAAAAGUUCCCUCUCACUUUCAGUAAAAAUAAAUAAAAUAACAGCAGCAAACAAACAGAAAUAAAAUGAAAUAAAAGAAACAAAUGAAAUAAAUAUUGUGUUGUGCAGCAUUAAAAAAAAUCAAAAUAAAAAUUAAAUGUGAGCAAAGAA